AGUUCAUGAUGUCGACAUAUUCACGUUAUUUCCUUGAAUUUAUCACAUGGUUCAAAGAUAGAUUUUCCAUCCUUCUGGAUAAAGAAAGAAAUUCGGCUCCCAAGUU